GCCAUAGUAUAAGUCAAAUUAAAGUAAACAAUUCAAUUCUAAAUCAAAUUAGUUUACAAGAUGUUUAAGGAUAUUGAACAAUUUUGUGAUUAUGCUCAAAACAAUUUGUUACAAUGAUAUCAAUUUUAAUUACGGAUAGCCUAAAUGGGUUUUGAUUGGGGGGAGCAAUCGCCAAAUUUGAAGAAUAAGAAUAAAAGGUUUUAUGGCGCGAAGGCUCAUGACUGUUUCUUCCUCCAGUUUCAGGCAUCCAUUGUAGCGAUUUCAGUUCGUUUCUUCUCCGUCAAUGCUACGAUAGUCGAUUUCCGAGAGCUUGGUUUGAUUGUUCCAUCAUCUUACCACAAGAUGUUCAACCAAGAUUUUUGCGUAGAGAUGAGGGCUGUGGUGGCCAACCGACAGUGACAAAAAGAAAAGAAAAUGGUAGCCUCGUUGCACAAACAACACAACAAACAGGUACUUGCUUGUUAUAAAUUCAUCUUGUUAGUUAAUGCAUUACCCAUGUGAUAUUAAAACCAACGAAUAUUUUUCCAAAUUUCAUUCUGAUUCUGAUAAGUAUUUGUGUGUGUGUGUGUGGCUGUGGACCACUUAGCCUUACAAUUUGGCUCAGAUUUUAUCAAAAGUCUCUGGAGGAACUUGCCAUUUACUGUUUUAAGAGAGUUUAGAAAUCUAGUUAAUGAGUCCGUGAGUUAUAAUAGUUUGUUUCGAAGACAUAGACUAUUUUUAGAAUAUAGAGUAGAAAAGAGUAACCGUUACAAAAUUUGGGUCCAAAUGGCCUUUAUAACAUAUAAUUACUUAUAUGGCAUUUUCUAAGAGGAGGAGGUGGAGGAUAUGCUUUUUGGAGACAAUAUAAUUGGAGGAGAAGUUGACAUUUUAGUGCAGUUGCUGUAGAUUAUGACUUGAUCAUACAGGCAACGAAUAAUUAACAUUUUUCUUUGAUAUUUAUUUUGGAAUUUUCUGGAAUUCGUUUUCCAUGUGCUUUUCUUUAUCAAAACAAAAAUGGAAAAAGUUUAACCCUAUCAGAAUUUUUGUUCUGAUAAUUGGGAGUUGGACGUCUGCUCCUCUGGGAAAAUAUUAGGAACUUCUUAUGAACUUAUUAUUCUAUCUUAUUUUCUUUUAAUUUGCUCGUGUGGUGUUGAAAAAUUCAAACAUAUGAUCUCUUCAUACCCAUAUUCAUUAAUUGAUAUGUUAGACACUAACUUGCUACAUUCUCUAUGUAUGUAUUUUCCUUAAUUUGAAAUUACUCACCAUUUUGGAUCCGCCA